GGGCGCUUGGUCUAGGGGUAUGAUUUUCGCUUCGCAUCUACAUCUGAGCAUCCAUCGUGAGCUUCAGUUGCGCAAUCUGUGAAAGGUCGUGGGUUCAAUUCCCACAGUGUCCA
rnacentral:tRNA from 2 species